UGUAUCCACUCAGUCAAGUAGACCUGCUAGUGAUAGUGGUGGAGAUGUACCACUCAGUUAAGUAGGCCUGCUAGUGAUAGUGGUGGAGAUGUAUCCACUCAGUCAAGUAGACCUGCUAGUGAUAGUGGUGGAGAUGUAUCCACUCAGUUAAGUAGGCCUGCUAGUGAUAGUGGUGGAGAUGUAUCCACUCAGUCAAGUAGACCUACUCCAUGACCCACAGCAACGCAGUCUUCUCUGGACCAGUUUAUGCCAAACGUCUAUGUCUGUAGCAAAACGAGGCCAAAUUAAUAUUGCAUUGGCUAAAAUGAUUGCCACCGAUUUCCAGCCAUUUUCGAUCGCGGAGGACAGAGGUUUUAUAAAUUAUAGCAAUAGUCUGAAUCCAAUGUACACAAGUCCAAGCAGGAAAACCCUUUUAAAAUCCCUUAUUCCACAACUGUACGAGAGCACACAGUCUUCAAUGGGGGAAAGAGUCCAAAAAGCUACUGCAGUUUGCCUUACUACUGACUGCUGGACAUCAAGGAUAACCACUUCUUACACGUCACUUCAUUGAAGAUGGUUUGAUGUCUAGCGGUCUGUCUUCUGGACUGCUUUUGAGUUCAGCGACAGACACACCUCAGAGAACUUGGCAGAGGAACUGUUGAGAGGGGCCAGAGAACGCCAAGUAGAUGGAAAAGUGGUCUGUUGUCUUAGCGGCAAUGCAGCUAACAAAACCAAAGCAAUGAAAAUGUUUAAAUGGACCCAUCAUCCAUGUCUUCCCCACACAAAUGUCCUGAUUGUAAGAGAUGCUCUGGGGGUGAUGAAGCCCACUGUGGACAAAGUGAAAGCAGCUGUGGAAUACUUCCACAGGAGCACAGUAGGUGCUGAAAACCUAAAAACACAACGCUAGAUGGGAGAUGCCUGAGCUGAGGCCUAAACAAGACUAAACAAGACUACAAGGUGGAAUACAAUGUUUUAUAUGUUGAAGUGGUUUCUUGAGUCAAAGGAAGACAUCAUCUCUACCCUGGCCAUUGUCAAUAUACCUCCUGAUGCUCUGACCCAAGAGGAAUGGGAGGUGGUGGAGGAGGUGUGCAGAGUCCUGUUGAUGCUCUGACCCAAGAGGAAUGGGAGGUGGUGGAGGAGGUGUGCAGAGUCCUGUUGAUUCUCUGACCCAAGAGGAAUGGGAGGUGGUGGAGGAGGUGUGCAGAGUCCUGUUGAUGCUCUGACCCAAGAGGAAUGGGAAGUGGUGGAGGAGGUGUGCAGAGUCCUGCAACCCUUGGAGCAGGUCACUGUGGAGGUCAGUGGAGAGAGCUAUGUGACAGCCUCAAAAACGAUACUCCUGUGUCUGCAGGGUCUGCAGCCAAUCACAGCCAGCCGCCAGAGAGAAGCAAACGUAACCGCAGGACACGUGACAGAGUUGAUGGACACCCUAUGUUCAUCAAUGGACAGGAAGAUACACAGAAUGGAAUAUAAUUUAUAUAUACACUUUGUUUAUAUACAUUAAAAAGUUAUACUUUAAA